GGUUCAAUGGUGCACUGUGCACGCCUGCUAGAUAUUGCACCCUUCACAGCCCCUCUGCAGGAGACGCCCGUUCGAUUCGGGCUUGGACCA